rnacentral:lncRNA from 1 species
UUCCCUUCCUCCUCUUACCUGUUUCCUGUGCCAUGCGUGGCAUUCCCAAGGCCCUUCCAUCAGCCAGAGGGAUUCACUGAGUGCUCUGCUUGGAGGAGAGACCCUUUGAUCCCCAGCUCGAAGACAAAUUUUUGGUGUUGACACACCGGUAAGGGAAUGCCCUGUCCCCAGCCACAUUUGAGCUGGAGCUCCAGCUCUGCAAGAGCCCAGCAAGCUCCUCUGACCAGCCAGCUGUGCUGGCCUGCACACCAACCACAGAAGGUAAAAACCAACCCACAGAACAGAGAGGGGAAUAAUCAGGCAGAACACGGAGGGCUGGGAGUGACCAGGCUGGGACUGGAGCAGAUCCACAGCUGUGCGUGGUUUGGCUGGGCUGUGCCAGUAAGAGGGAGCACAGGUUCAAUUCUGCUGGAGGGAGAGAGUGAGGGAGAAGCCUCGGAUUCCAUCCCUCUGGAAGGAGUGGAGUGUGGGUACAAUAAGCUAGACCCAGGGUGACACGUCAAUCAAGGCCAAACACUCCAUCCAUCUCUCUGUGCUAGUCACUGCCGGCAAGUUUUCUCGCUGUGAAUAUUCCACCCGGCUCCCUGGACUCACCCGGAUAAUGGCAUUUCUCUUGCAGUUGUUUAAACUAACAGCAGCACAAUUCGCAGCCAGCGGCUUCAGCGCUUUGUGCUCAUUUGCUCAAUCAACAUUCGCCCCCUGGAAAAGAAACCAAAAAAACAUUUCUAGCGUUCCUGGCUGCACAGCAAACCUUGACAGACAGGUCUUCCAAAGAUUCAAAAGCCAGGAAGAGAGAAAUGAAGAGUGUCUUGGGUUUUUUCUCUGUUUCUUGAGGCUUACAAGAGUCUCCAGCUCCUUAAGCCAGACUGCUUGCUGCAUGUGUGAGUCUCUGGCAGUGCAAUCUGCCAGCCUGUCUGGUGAUGAAGAUCCAGGUUUUACACAGCUUGAGAAAACAGUGUCUGUUUUUUACCCCCAGUGUUUCUCACACAGCAUAUAUUAA